CUCAAACAUAUAUGCAUGCGUAUCUCUGUGGUGCUGCUUCUGUUUCCCUAAGUGCUUUGUUCAAGAUGGAAUAACUGCAUCCAAAAGAAGCUCGAACCUGCUUAAGAAGUGCCAAUCACCUUUACAGUUGGCAGAACUGAUCUGAUGUCUGCCCGUCACGAGAUUUCUGAGACUGGGAACCUUCUUAACUGUGUGAAUCCUCAAUCUCAUCAGAUGUAAGGAAGCCAAGGAAAACUGGAAUUGAAGAACUUGCCAAGGGACAACAGAACAAGAAAAGUAUGGGGCCUCUUGGAAGCAAAAUGACUCCAAUGGCGUGAAAACCCUCAGUUCAGUGCAAACAUGUGGUUGGAGACGAUUUAGAAAGGGAGAAGCAGUGUAGCCACCGCCCUUCAAUGCUUUCCAUGGAUUAACCCACCUGGUCGUCACAGCAAGCU